UCUCCCUCUCUCUCUGUCCCUCUCCUGCUCACGCUCUGUCUCUCAAAAAUACAUAAAUUAAAAAAAAUUUUUUUUAAAGUAAAAAAAAAAAAUCACUGAACAUGGGUUAGACACUUAAACAUGGGACCUGAGACUGUAAAAUUCCUAGCAGAAAACAUAGAUAGGAGAAAAAUUCCUUGGCGGAGCGCCCUGGCAAUGUUUUGGUUGUGACAUGAAAGCACCAGCAACCGAAGCAGAAAUUCGCUGCACUGAACAGAAAGCUUCUGCACGGCGAGGGAGACCAUCCACACGAACUUCCAGUACCGUGUUGGAUACAAGUGGUGAGAGUAGUUGUCUGUCUCUUGUUCCUGAUCUUAGAGGAAAAGUCUUCAACCUUUCACUGGAAGCUCCAUGUGCUCUCAAGAAGAAUGCUGUUGUGCUGCUGUUGGAUGGAUGUCCUGUACGUGUCUGUCGGGUCCAUGUGAUCUAAAGUAUAGUUCAAAUCCAGGGUCAUGAUGAUUGUGGGAAUGACAACAGAGGACCCAGGAUAUCAUGUGGACUUCGUGGAGGGGGCUGCAGCAGGGUCUGAGCAAUUUUGAAAGAAGUUCUGUGGGUAAAACGCUGUCAAACGGCACCACACGCCAAAGAGAAAACUUUGGUGAAAGGAAGAGACCAUCAGUGCAGCGAACUUCCCUGUUGUCUUAUUCUGAGCAGUGGCCACGGCCACCCUGGCCUUCAGCUGCCACCACCCUGAUAGGUCGGCAGCCGCCAGCCUCGGGCAGACCCCCCGCCAGCAAAAAGAUGAUGACUUACCGGAAGCUCAGAGGAUGGUUAGCACAUUUUAGCCAUAAAGUGCUUUUAACAGUUGUUUUCUUUUAAUUUUAGAGAGAGACACUGUGAGGGCAGGGGAGAGGGGCAGAGAGAGAUAGAGACUCUUAAGCAGUCUCCAUGCUCAGGGUGGAGCCUGGCAUG